AUGUCUAAGUCAGAGUCUCCUAAAGAGACCAGACAGCUGCAGAAGCUCUUCAUUGGAGGGUUGGGCUUUGAAACAACUGACAAAAGCCUGAGGAGCCAUUUUAAGCAUGGGGAAUGCUCAACGAACUGUGAGAUGCAAACACCAAGCAUUCCAGGGGCUUUGGGUUUAUCACAUAUGCCACUGUGGAGGAGGUGGAUGCCGCCAUGUAUGCAAGGCCACACAAGGUGUAUGGAAGAGUUGUGGAGCCAAAGAGAACUGUCUCAACAGAAGAUUCUCAAAGACCAGGUGCCCACUUAGCUGUGAAAAAGAUAUUUGUUGGUGGCAUUAAAGAAGACACUGAAGAAUAUCACCUAAGAGAUUAUUUUGAACAGUGUGGAAAAAUUGAAGUGAUUGAAAUCAUGACUGAAACGAGGCAGCAGCAAGAAAAGGGGCUUUGUCUUUGUAACCUUUGAUGACCAUGACUCUGUGGAUAAGAUUGUCAUCCAGAGACUCUGUCUCAAGAAAAAAAAGAAAUACCACCCUAUGAAUGGUCACAACUUUGAAGUUAGGUAGGGAAGCUCUGCCAAAGCAAGAGAUGGCUAGUGCUUCACCCAGCCAAAGAGGUCAAAGUGGUUCUGGAAACUUCGGUGGUGGUGGAGGGGGUGGUUUUGGUGGGUUGUGGAGGAAACUUCAGUCGUCAUGGUGGCUUUGGUGGCAGCCGUGGUGAUGGUGAAUAUGGGGGCAGUGGGGAUGGCUAUAAUGGAUUUGGUAAUGAGGGAAGCAAUUUUGGAGGUGGUGAAAGCUACAAUGAUUUUGGCAAUUACAAGAAUCAGUCUUCAAAUUUUGGACCCAUGAAGGGUGGAAACUUUGGAGGCAGAAGCUCUGGCCCCUGUGAUGUUGGAGGCCAAUACUUUGCCGAACCAUGAAACCAAGGUGGCUGUGGCAGUUCCAGUAGCAGCAGUACCUAUGGCAGUGGCAAAAGAU
rnacentral:lncRNA from 10 species